UGUCGGCUUGUCAACGGCACGCGACGCGCCGCAUCCAUCUGCUAUUUAUCUGCUGUCUGGCGAGGGCAAACAACAACAACAACAAACAAACAAACGGACGAUAUCAACCUCCAACUCGGGGACUCGAAAGUGGGGAGUCCGUCUCGGUCGAAACGCGGCGAAGAGUGAGGCUGACUUCGCGUCGGCGCCCUUUUCUCAACUCUUACAAAGUGAAUGGCCUAAGCAGAGAGAGACACGGAGAUGAGCUGGGCCGAGGAGGACUGGACCGCGGGCCUGUCGGGACGGGUUCUGCAAAAAGUGAAGGAGCUGCAGGCCCACCAGGAGCGUCUGUCCAGAGAGAACAAGCAGAAGCAGCUGAAGCUGGACAACAUCCACGUUAGCCACAACAAGCAAAGUGUGAAGUACGAGGAUGUGCGUGGGGAGCUCCAGGCGGUGCGCAGGGAGCUCCAGAGUGUCCAGGAGGCUGCCCAGCUGGCCGAAACUGGCGGUCAGCGCCUCACCCAAGAGCUUCAGACCAAACAGGCCCAAGUGUGCUCCUUGGAGGGCCAGCUCGAUGCCGCCCGGACACUCAACAACAAGCUCACCCAGGAAGUUAAACGACUGGAGGCAGAACUAGAGAAGUUGCAGAACAGCAACAGGUCUGCAGACAACACUCCUUUCUCCACACCCUGCUGGAGUACAAGCUCACCGAAGGAACACCAUGGGAGCCGAAAGGAUGAGAGGACGGGGCAGAGAGAGGAAUCGCAGUGCUCACUACACACCCGACGGCUCCAGUUCUCAGACGCCUCGAGUCCCUCGUUGCCGCGGCAACUCAAGACCCCGCCCCGCAGCCACCCGUCCGACCAAUCGGACUCUUUCGCCGCUCCCUCGGCUGUUUUUCCGUGGGAGCGGGACGACCCCAGGCCAGCGGCCAGGAGGCCAUCUCCGUCUUCUCCCCUGACGCCCGGUGCUGACCACCAGUCAAAGCAGGAGACGCCUGAGAGGGAGAAAGAACUCUGCACACAAGCAGACACGUCGUCGUUACAAAUGAGGCAUCAUGCGGCGUCUCUGGAGGAACAGUUGAGUGUGAAGACGGAGACGCUGAAGUCACUUCAGUUCGAAAUGGCGCAGGGCAAGAAGAAGAUGGCCGCCACAGAGCUCAGCCUGCAGAGGGCGCACAACGAACUUAGCGUGGCGCACACGCGAAUCACUCAGGAGAGCGAACGGGCAUUGGGAGCUGAGCAGAGGCUCAAGCAGCUUCAAGAGGAGCUCAAGUGUCAGCGGCAGAAUGCCGAGAGCAGUCGACUGCAUCAUCAACAGCGCACGAAGGAGCUGGACCAGCAACAUCAGAGGGACCUGCUGGAGCUUCAGAAGGAGAAGCAGUGCGUGGAAAAGCAGCAUCAACAGGAAGUAAAUCAACUCAACCGGGAGCUGCAGCAGGCCAGGACACUUCACAAUGCCCUGCAGGCCCAGGCUGACAAGCUGUCUCAGCAGAAGCAAGUGCUGGACAAAGAGUUGGAGUCUUUCAAGGAAAAAGUCAAAUUCAUAGAAGGACAGCUGCAGGAGAGUCAGAAGAAAGAGACACAAAUACAAGCAAAACUGAAGGAGGUGACGCUCGGUGCGGAGGGCGUGGCAGUUAGUCUGGAGCAGAGCAAGAAGAGAGAGCAAGCAGUGGAAGAUGAGAUGAGCAGACUGGCAGGGGAACGAGCGGAUGCCAUUCGUCUUCUCAAAGAACUGCAAGAACAAAAAGCUGCUCCUCUACCAGAAUGCACACAGCUUGUCACGGUUUCUCCCGUCGGACAGAGUUUCUCAUCUCAAGCCUCCUCUCAUCACACUCUCUCGUCCACGUGCACCAAGCGGCCUUCUGCCCCCCGAGCUGAGCCGAGGGGGCUGAAGCAAGAGGAAGAGGUCCAGGAAAAAGCCGCUAAUUCCAUAUCUUACCCGCCUGACAGAGAGCCUGGAGAGGGCAUUGAUUCUGAGCACAUCACUGCAGACACUGAGUGUUCCCACCGACGAGGAAACUGUGAAGAGAAGGAGUCCUGCGUAUGCAACAAUGCCAACAAUGAGGGCGAGAAUGGCACAAUAAUUCUCGAUACUCUGAACUCUGAGCAGACGAUACACACCGAGGACCUCCAGAGGGAGAACGGCGCAUUGCGUUCGGAGCUGCGCGACGUGCGCGAGGAACUCCAGAAACGACUGGACGACCUGGAGGUCCAGCGACGUGCCGAAGCGGAGGCCAGGACGCGUCUGAAACAGCUGAGCCGUAAACACGCCUGCCAAGGGGUGGGGAAAGAGGAGCAGGACAAGCAAUGGAAGGCUGAGUUGGAGAGGGAGAAGACCGAGAACGACAGGUUGAGGAAGACUUUGGAGGAAAGAGAGGAGCAGGACGGGACGAAGCAGACACAAGAGGACCGGGAGGCAGAAAUGAUGCAACUCAACUUCCAGCUGAAGAAGCAACUUGGGGAAGUCAAACUCCAGCUGGCUUUAGAACGAGACGGCAGAGAGAGAGAGAAAGAGGAGCUGACACAAAUCACCAACGCGGAGAGAGAAGGAAAGCAAGAACUGAGCAUCAAAUUGGAAGAACUUACAGCUCAGCUUGCCGAGCUGAAGAACGGUGGAGCUCAAGAGUCUCAAUGCGAGGAGAAACUGCUAACCAACGGCCCGCUGACAUUCUUGCCGCUCUACGCUGACCAGCUCAAGUCCAACGUCAUGAUCUCAGAUGAAGAAGUGCCGUCACUGGAGCAGUACGCCGUCUUCUGCCAAUCUACCAACCAGCGCAACGCGCUAGUUUCCCAGCAAACAACAAUGGGGCCACAACUGUCACAUGAGGGACAAACGGUGCCAGUGGGCUCUGAUUUGAGAGACACCUGUUCAGAACAUCUCCAGAAGGACAAGUCUGCGUCCUCCAACUUCACCAAGGAGAUUGAACGACUGAGGAGACAAAAUUCACAGGAGACGGAACGUGCUAACCAGCUCCAAGUUAAACUGACUGCCCUUCAAAACCAGUUGACCAGUCAGACCAAACAGCUGACCGCGGGCUUUGAGAAGCAGAGCCAGUACAUCUCGGGACUUCUCGCUGAAGUGCAGGAGAAGGAGGGCGCCCUCCUCAGCCAGGGAGAGGAACUGCGUCGCUGCACACGAGAGCUGGACACACUCAAGUCCGAGAGAACGAGAGAGGAGGGAACGGGAAGAAAAAAGGGAAACAUUUGCAAGGUGGAGCAUGAAGGCCAAAUGGAGGAUGUUCUUGACUCACUGGGUUCCUUAAAUCUUAAAUCUUUCACUUCAAUUGCACUUAGCUCACAAAAUGACUCGGUUCAACAAACACACGAUCCAACUGAUGUCGGUGCGACUGAUGCUGAAAAAACAAUUCCCAAUCAGGUGGACAAUUCAGCGGUAUCGACUCAUCCACAUGGCUUGGGAGGCUCUGAUGAGGCUCAAAGCAUCAAUGGCUGUGCUUUGGCAAACACCGAGGCUGUGUGCGGGCCAGAUAAGGGACAAGUACUGGUGGCUACAUCCCGACUCGCUCCCCAGCACAAGGAUCAAGUUCUCAAACAAAGUAUGACUUGCAUCCUCUCUGAAGCAAGCAAACUGGUACCAAAGCAAGAGUUGGAACGUGACGCCCUGCCGACCGCACCCAGUGUGUCACUUGACAUCACCUCAGAGACGAGUGGAAGUGCUGAUGAGAUGAUCGACUAUCUGCAGACACGGGUGGUGGCACUGCAGAGGGAGCUACAGGAGCACUCGAAGGUGGCCCAGCAGCAGGCUGAAGAGUUGGCCAUCUGGAGAUUGGCUUCUCAACCCUCCUCCAUGUUGGAUCAGGGCCUUCCCAGCCAAGGGGCGCAAUCUGAAACGCAAACGCAGCACGGCGAUAUGGGCCAGAACCCAGCGCUGGUCGUCAGAAAGGAUGAGGUGUUGCUCUCUUGCGUCUCCAACAGGCUGCAAGGUCGCAUGCUCUCCGCCAGCAUGCAGCAGCCGAACCUGCCUGAGAGGAGCAUCCAACAGCCCCCGGUUGACGUAAACGAGCCAUCAGAAAAGGAAACGCAGCCUUCAGGAACAUGUUCAAGCCCAGAUAAGGAGUCUGAACAUCAAAUGGGCCAGGAACAUGUCAGCAAAUCUUCCGCACAAAAUUCUGAUGGCGACUCGAGCGGCUGGAGAGCGAUCAAAGACUUGAGCGCAAGCACCAACAUGGCCAGAAGUGUCAGCACUCAAACACGGGAGCAGUUGUGCCUCGGUGGCACUGAGGCGGCCCCUGAGCGCCACUGUGUGCACACGCAGACUGACGCUGAGACCGAGGAGAACGAGUUAGACGACGCUUCCCCUCACAUAACUAAAACUCCGCCAUCUGCGAGACCAGCGACGGGAGACAAAAUGCUCUUUUCCUCUUCCUUCCCCAUCCCGGCUGACCCGGUGCGUCUGGCAGAACGGAUACGACGAAACAGGACGCAGCUGUCUGCCGCUUUUGACGACACUGAAUAUGAACCUUACGGUCUCCCGGAAGUUGUCAUGAAAGGUUUUGCCGACAUCCCCACUGGACCCUCGUGCCCCUACAUUGUGAGGCGGGGCUUGUUAGGGACCGUCGUCGUCCCCGUCACUCAGAAGGAGGCCAACCCGGAGGACGAGACGGAUUGAUAGGUGACCGCAGGAUCACAAGUAUGGGGCAACACCUUCCAAGGAGAAAACACAUGCACUUUGACAACACACACAGUUCCCUAGUGCUGAGUGCUGCGGGGCCGGAGAAUGACACACGUGUUGCGUUGGACCAAGCUGAGUUGCAGUUUCACCAAAGUCAAGGACUCCAGCGAAGCCUGAGAGAGCUCAUCAGCUGACCUAACAUGGGAUCAACUCCUGACUUCGGAGCCCCAAGCAGUGACCCAAAAAUCGUUGGAGGCUACUACAUGGAGGCAGUCCACAGAUUAGGUGGUAGUCCAAGGAUUGUGAGAGGCGACCGGGGCACAGAGAAUGUUAAAGUCAGAGACCUUCAGCGAUAUCUCCGUCGCAACAUUCACGAAUCAGCGCAUCGAGAGUUGGUGGGGCUUCCUCAGAAGGGAAUCGAUUGAAUUCUACAUCUCUCUCUUUACUGACCUGAAGGACCGUGGUUUGUUCGAGGGGACGUAUUUGAACAGAAAUCUCAUUCAGUUCUGCUUCCUGGGCAUAAUUCAGCAAGAAUUAGAUGAGACCAUCCGUGCGUGGGCUGCACACAUCAUCAGACCGUCGAAGAAUGCCAGGGUAACCAGUGGCCGUCCCCAAAUCAUGUACACGUUCCCAGAACUCUACUCAACUUCUGACUGCAUGUCCCCAGUUGACAGUGCUGAUGUAAAGUAGUGUUGGAGUGACUGCAGGUUGCGCCCAGCAGUGCCAUGUGACUCAGACAUCUACAACAUCUGCAAUGUUAUGAUGGUGGAGUCACAGAUGCAUCUUUCAACUGAUGCUUAUCAAGCAUUGGAUCUGUACCUCCACUUGAGGCACGAGAUAAUAACUGCCCUCUAAUAUGAGAGAGAACUACAUUUGGAGUCCUUAAAUGAACAUUUGUUUAGACCGUUAUUCACAGUCCACCAUGGUGUACUGCAGGCGUGUCAAUUAUUUUUUUGUUGCGGGCCACACUGUAGUUGUGGUUUCUCUCAGAACGCCAUUAUGGUUGUGGAUCCCCAUUAAUGUAAAAUUGCUUAAUAUUAGUAGUUUUGAGGCGGCACUGUGGACGACUGGUUAGAGCGUCAGCCUCACAGUUCUGAGGACCCGGGUUCAAUCCCCGGCCCCGCCUGUGUAGAGUUUGCAUGUUCUCCCCGUGCCUGCGUGGGUUUUCUCCGGUUUCCUCCCACAUCCCAAAAACAUGCAUUAAUUGGAGACUCUAAAUUGCCCGUAGGCAUGACUGUGAGUGCGAAUGGUUGUCUGUUUGUAUGUGCCCUGCGAUUGGCUGGCAACCAGUUCAGGGUGUACCCCGCCUCCUGCCCGAUGACAGCUGGGAUAGGCUCCAGCACGCCCGCGACCCUAGUGAGGAGAAGCGGCUCAGAAAAUGGAUGGAUGGAUAGUAGUUUUGAAAUCAGAAAAACAUUUUCAAAUAUUCAAUUUAUUUUGAAAGGGGCAUUGGUAACAAAAAAAUGCAUGCGAUAUUUCAAAGUUAUAAAGGCAAUUUUGGUAUUUUAGUACGAAACAUGUCGACGUUUGUUUUCGUGGGGCACAAAAAAAUGAUGUGGAAGGCCUGAUCUGGUCCCCAGGCCUUGAGUUUGACACAUGAUGUGUAACGCAAAUGUAAUAAAUUUUUCUGAUUAAAUUUGUAAAAGCUUGGUUUGGAACUUUGAGCUGAU